GCCAAGUGACUCAGGUGAGAGACGUGGCCCUUGGGCUUUUUCUUAACUUCUGUUUGAAAAAUACCAGGUCAAUCAUUACCAUUUUUGGUUUGAUGAUCUCUAGGAUGAAAGGAAUAUAGAUAUAUAAGUUAAACUGAUGAACAGGUACCUCCAUAUAGUGUUGAUUUAUGUUCAAACUUUAAUUCAUGGUCUAACGUUUCAGAAUUGGGAAGUGUUUGUUUUAUAUCUGAAUAUAUAUAAAUUUGAAAAUCUUUUUCUCUAAAACCGCUAGCUGGUCCAAAGUUUCUCAAACUGAUUUGCAAGCAUCCUCAUUCUUUAUAGAUUCAAGAUCACAACAUCACAACAUGAUCCUAGAAGCUGUAUAGAGGAGACUGACUGUGGCUGGGUGUCCCCCUCCCCUUACCAAUCACAACAUGAUCCUAGAAGCUGUAUAGAGGAGACGGACUGUGGCUGGGUGUCCAACACAGUGCAAGAGUACCUAAUGACUGUGGCUGUUAGUCCCCCUCCAUUACCGUGCAGGAGUAUCUAAUGACUGUGGCAGGGUGUCCCCCUCCCCUUACCGUGCUGUAGGGUUUACUGUGGCUGGAUGUCCAACACAGUGCAAGAGUACCUAAUGACUGUGGCUGUUAGUCCCCCUCCAUUACCGUGCAAGAGUACCUAAUGACUGUGACUGGGUGUCCCCCUCCCAUUACCGUGCAGGAGUACCUAAUGACUGUGGCUGGGUGUCCCCUCCCCUUACCGUGCAGUAGGACGUAUUGACUGUGAGUGUGACUGGGUGUCCCCUCCCAUUAUUGUGCUGUAGGGUUUACUGUGGCUGGGUGUCCCCUCCCCUAACCGUGCUGUAGGGUUUACUGUGACUGGGUGUCCCCCUCCCCUUACCGUGCUGUAGGGUUUACUGUGACUGGGUGUCCCCUCCCCUUACCGUGCUGUAGGGUUUACUGUGACUGGGUGUCCCCCUCCCCUUACCGUGCUGUAGGGUUUACUGUAGCUGGGUGUCACCCUCCAUUACUGUGCAGUAGGAACAAUGUAACGAUACAUAACAAAGAAAAAACGAUGUUUAAGGUGUUUCUUUGUCAGUGAUCAGAACUCGAUGAUGAUUUAUUUGAAUACAUUAUAGUAUUACCAUGAUUAUAGAAUAUUUGCUCAAGUCGAAGGACAUCUUUAAGGACUCGCACCUUAAAAAGAUCCUGUGUCCCAAAUCUUUAGAUUAUAAGGAACCUUUGAGGAUUUUAUCUUAUAUAAUAUCUGAACAAUUUUUCUUUUGAUAGAUGUGAAAGAUUAUGGUCAAACUGGACUGCUUUAAGAACAAAGUAAAAUUGUGAGGAGGUGAUUGAAGUUGCAGUUCUUCUCAAAUCCCAGAACCCACACUAAGGCCAGUCUGCUGGACUUCCAACUGAUCUAUGAUAACACCUGCCCAUUCAACCAAAUUCGUUGAUGACCAGUGUGGGCCAGCUAAGUGAUUGGUCAGUCCCAUAUGCUGCGGGGGAUUGUGAUGUUAUUGAUGGUAAACAGAAGACUGGGGCCUUGUAUCUGAAGAUCUGUGACAAAGAUCAGAUGUUCAACAAAUCUAAAAUGUCGAUGUUGAUGAGGAGAUCAGAAGAGUGUUUAUUGUAUAUUUAACGUAAUAAAGUUUGUUGCUCUCUC